GUGCCAGCAGCCGCGGUAAUACGUAGGGCGCAAGCGUUGUCCGGAAUUAUUGGGCGUAAAGAGCUCGUAGGCGGUUUGUCGCGUCUGCUGUGAAAACGCAAGGCUUAACCUUGCGCCUGCAGUGGGUACGGGCAGACUAGAGUGCGGUAGGGGAGACUGGAAUUCCUGGUGUAGCGGUGGAAUGCGCAGAUAUCAGGAGGAACACCGAUGGCGAAGGCAGGUCUCUGGGCCGUUACUGACGCUGAGGAGCGAAAGCAUGGGGAGCGA
rnacentral:rRNA from 1 species